rnacentral:misc_RNA from 1 species
GAUGAAGAACGCAGCAAAAUGCGAUAAGUAAUGUGAAUUGCAGAAUUCAGUGAAUCAUCGAAUCUUUGAACGCACAUUGCGCCCGCCAGUAUUCUGGCGGGCAUGCCUGUUCGAGCGUCAUUUCAACCCUCAGGGCCCUUUUGGACCUGGCGUUGGGGCUCGGCCGCUACCCUGCGGCCGUCCCCGAAAGAUAGUGGCGGUCUCGCUGUAGCCUCCUCUGCGUAGUAGUUACAUCUCGCACUGGAACGCGGCGCGGCCAUGCCGUUAAACACCCCACUUCUCAAGGUUGACCUCGGAUCAGGUAGGAAUACCCGCUGAACUUAAGCAUAUCAAUAAGCGGAGGA